rnacentral:rRNA from 1 species
UACGAAGGGGGCUAGCGUUGUUCGGAAUCACUGGGCGUAAAGGGUGCGUAGGCGGGUCUUUAAGUCAGGGGUGAAAUCCUGGAGCUCAACUCCAGAACUGCCUUUGAUACUGAGGAUCUUGAGUUCGGGAGAGGUGAGUGGAACUGCGAGUGUAGAGGUGAAAUUCGUAGAUAUUCGCAAGAACACCAGUGGCGAAGGCGGCUCACUGGCCCGGUACUGACGCUGAGGCACGAAAGCGUGGGGAGCAAACAGG